UGCAUGAGAAUAAGUGUUUCGGCCUUCUGGAUCAUUAGUUCUUCAUAAUGGACUUUUCUUGAUUUCUGAAAUAUCAAUUGCAGAUAUCUUCAUAGAUGGGAGCUUAAUGUUGCGAUGGAUGAUCUCACCAUGUGCAUUUGCCAUCUGCCGCAGGGUGAUCCUCUUAGGAGUGAGGCCAUCCUAGCACGACAAGCUUUGCAGAGAUAUAGUCACAUACUGUGUGCAGAUGACAGAUAUAACAGCUGGCAUGAGGUUGAAGCUGAUUGCAAGGAAGAUCCUGAAGGUCUUGCUUUGAGAUUGGCUAGCAAGGGUGCUGUUUCUGCAGCCUUAGAAGUAGUUGAAAGUGCCAAUUUAUCUAUAGAUUUGCGGAGAGAGUUGCGGGGCAGGCAACUUGUUGAGCUGCUUACUGCUGAUCCUGUCAGUGGUGGCGGUCCGGUAGAGGCUUCAAGAUUCCUUUCAUCAUUCCAUGAAGCUAAUGAUGCUCUGCCAGUUGCUAUGGGUGCCAUGCAACAACUUCCUAACUUGCGGUCAAAGCAACUUCUUGUAUAUCUCCAUGUCUUUGUCUAUAAUUUCUUCCAUUGACAGAUGUGGGAGCUGAAAGAACUUAUUUGGCUGUUUCUUGAUAUUUUCUUAAGCCCACUAUUGUCCAUUUUUAAAGGUGCACUUUUUUCUUGAAGAGGCAUGAUGGAAAUAUGUCAGACGCUGAAAUCUCCCAGCUUAAUGCUUGGGCUCUGGGUCUACAUGUUCUUGCUGCUUUGCCUUUGCCUUGGCAGCAACGUUGUUCUGCAUUACAUGAGCAGCCUCUGUUGAUCUUAGAAGUCCUAUUUAUGUGUAAACAGUUAGAUUCUGCUUCUCAGAUCAUGAAGGAGUUUCCUUCACUUAGGGACAACAAUCUGAUUCUUGCAUAUGCGGCUAAAGCCAUUGCCGUUAACAUGAAUCCUCCUGUUAGCGAACAACGUGCCCCUAUGGUGGUUCCCAGAACAAAGCAGAAAACACAAACGGGCAUGCCUGCAAAAUCAAAUUUUAGUCACAGCCUCAGCAGCUUGCAGAAAGAAGCUCGCCGUGCAUUUUCAUGGAUACCUCGUGAUAGUGGUACUAAGACUAAUUGGAAGGAACCAUAUCGUAAGCGGAAAAGCUUAGGAUUGUCUCCAUCUGCAAAUACUUCUUGGGAAGCAAUGGCCAAUAUUCAAGAGGAUCGUAGUUCAGUUAAUGCACUUGAUGGACAAGAAAGGUUUCCCUCUAUUGCUACUUCUGAAAGAUGGGUACUCACAGGAAGGGACUUCAAAAUCCAAAGUCCGUUUUCUACAAGACCUACAUCUUUGUUCUAAUUGCAUAUGCAAGUGUCCAGCUGGCCUUUAGCCUACUCAUGCGCAUUCCAGCUUGUCAUAGGCUGACAAACCGAUGUGAUCAAUGGCUUGUUAGGAGAUUUAUCAAGUGGAUGCAUCAGGAAAGGCAUUAUGUUGGACGAGGAAUGUAUGAGCGAACAACUGACUUUAUCAAACCGACUAUCCCUCGGCGCAACACGGGCCAAAUAUGUAACGCUCGACUCAUUUUCUACGUGGGCUGGAUCGGGUGCGGACCCGGACCCAAAUCCAGUAGUGUGGGAGCCCGACGUCGCCCUCUUCUCCCUCGUCUCCAUCGUUUCCCCUCUUCGUCUCUCCCUUUGCUAUGACCACAACGCAGAGAAGAGGAAGAUGGAGGUCGGUACAGCGGCGAUGGAAGUGGACGGCGGCGACGGCGGCAGUGCUUAGCUUGGGGAUGUGUUCUUCCCCCUCAUAACAGCGGCUAGAAUGCGUUGGUGUGGCUGCAUUGCGGGAUUUUAGCCGUUUGAGGACCUCUCGAACUUGUGAGGUGGCUGCCGGGAGGACUGCAGCAGUUCAGACUCUUAAAUUGGGGUACACCGGGCACGUCAAGUAGGCCUUGAGCAAUGUGGGUCAUAGUUCAAGGUGUUUAGUGGACGCGCGACAGGU